rnacentral:misc_RNA from 1 species
GAUGAAGAACGCAGCGAAAUGCGAUACUUGGUGUGAAUUGCAGAAUCCCGUGAACCAUCGAGUUUUUGAACGCAAGUUGCGCCCGAAGCCAUUAGGCCGAGGGCACGCCUGCCUGGGCGUCACACGUCGUUGCCCCCCCCAUCUACUCCUUCGGGAUUGCGGGGGGCGGAUGAUGGCCUCCCGUGCGCCUCGCCGCGCGGUUGGCAUAAAUGCCAAGUCCUCGGCGACGCACGCCACGACAAUCGGUGGUUGCGAAACCUCGGUUGCCCGUCGUGUGCGGUCGUCGCGCAUCGAGGGCUCGAAAAAAUUGCCGAGUUCCGGCUCGGCUUUCAACGCGACCCCAGGUCAGGCGGGGUUACCCGCUGAAUUUAAGCAUAUCAAUAAGCGGAGGA